AAUUUAAAUAGCUUAAAUUUAGAGCAUGACACUGAAGAUGUUAGGGUGAUUAUUAUAAUCUUUAGAUA
rnacentral:tRNA from 1 species